GGCCUGGGGCCUCCGGGGCCUGAGCCCGGCCGGAGAACCUCAGAGACGCGGGAGCGGGGAGAGGCGCCUGCCUCUGUGCUGUCUCAGGCUCUGCUCUGCUCUGCCCUGCGGAUCACUUGUCUGUCUCUGCCACCACCAGGGAGUGAGUGCCAUGGAUUAUCUAUGAAGAAGGAACAGGUUCAGCUGUGACAUCAUUUCAUGCAAUGAAGUUGUAUGCAGCUAUGAAAAAGGAAGUCGCCUGGAUGGACAUCAUCUUCACAAUCUCCUGUUAACUCAAAAAGCAAGGUGCGGAACAGCAGACAGUGCAGCUGUAUUCAUUUGAGGCGAUUGAGGAAACCACAAAAUCAACUCCACAAGCUAAAGGCUCUGGACUCCUUCUUCCUGCUAAACUCAGGGAGCAGCUGCAGACGGGCCUGGGGUGAGAUCCCUGGCCCAGAGCCAAGAGCCAGGUUGAGUCUCUGCUGACCCCCAUAUGCCCUGUCAUCUUGGACUUUUUCUGGAUUAGGAAGUAGAAGCUGACCUGGCCAGUGCCUCCCCAGGUGGCUGUGAGAAAUGGUGGGUUGUCCUUAAGGGCAAGAAAGCUGAGGGGUGGGUCCAGG